rnacentral:rRNA from 1 species
GAUGAACGCUGGCGGCGUGCCUAAUACAUGCAAGUCGAGCGAACAGACGAGGAGCUUGCUCCUCUGACGUUAGCGGCGGACGGGUGAGUAACACGUGGAUAACCUACCUAUAAGACUGGGAUAACUUCGGGAAACCGGAGCUAAUACCGGAUAAUAUAUUGAACCGCAUGGUUCAAUAGUGAAAGACGGUUUUGCUGUCACUUAUAGAUGGAUCCGCGCCGCAUUAGCUAGUUGGUAAGGUAACGGCUUACCAAGGCAACGAUGCGUAGCCGACCUGAGAGGGUGAUCGGCCACACUGGAACUGAGACACGGUCCAGACUCCUACGGGAGGCAGCAGAAGGGAAUCUUCCGCAAUGGGCGCAAGCCUGACGGAGCAACGCCGCGUGAGUGAUGAAGGUCUUCGGAUCGUAAAACUCUGUUAUUAGGGAAGAACAAAUGUGUAAGUAACUAUGCACGUCUUGACGGUACCUAAUCAGAAAGCCACGGCUAACUACGUG